rnacentral:lncRNA from 1 species
AGACACUUAUGGUUAUUAAUAUAUUAUAAGUUCUAGUAUAUUAAUAAUAAGAAUGAUAAGAUUAUUUAAUUAGUAUUGAUCAAGAAUUAAUCUAGGAUUAAUUAAGUGAUUAAAAGAAGACUAAUUAAAUAUAUGGAUUGAUUGUGUAAAUCAUCCAUACUUGUAUAGUGGACUAAUGCUCCAUGGAUAAUCAAGUUGGGCUAAAAACCUAUAGGAUGGUCCAUGGAUGCUCCAUGGUGUAUUUGAACCCAUGGAUCCAAGGAAAUGGAAAGUCAUGACAAUUAGGGUUUGCCCUAAUUGUAACACUAUAUAAAGAUCUUAUUCUUGACAAAAUUGGCAACUAGAAUCACACUAGUGUGUGAAGUGAAAGGGCUAGCCGAUUUUGAUGAGUGUAGAAUUCUCUCAAGUCAUUCCAAGUGUUUUGAUGAUUGUGAUUCCAUUUGAGGUGUCACACUUGGGGCACUAGGCACUCAAGCUUCAUGAAGACUUUUUUCUACAUCAAGAGGUAUGUAUUCUAUCUUGUUACAUUAAUUGUUUUGUAUGCUAGAUUAGGAUAAUACCUUGGAAGUUCUUAUUUGCAUGUAUAAUAGAGAAAACAUAGAUCCAAGGUAUUUAGGGUUGCAUGUACACUUAGGAGUGUUAGAAUGCUCAAAACCCAACAGUGGUAUCAGAGCCUAGGCUUGUUUUCUUGUUAUACCUGCAAUAGAAGCUGAAAAAACGAAUCUGGUGCUGUCUGGCCAUCAGACUCGGCGAGUCCAUCAGGAGACUCGACGAGUCCAUGCCUAAAAAGUGAUGAAUUCGAUCCAACUCGCCGAGUUUGUUCAUGCACUCGACGAGUUGGACCCCCAGACAGCAUAUUUUCGAGUUUUUUGGCUAGAAAUGGACUAGGAACAUUACCCUAAGUUGUUUUUGAACUUAUAAACUUGUUUUUGAUGUGGUAAUGUUCAUGCUAAUCCAUUUUCAAAGAUAAUUGUCAAUAGAUUCAUGUUUUGUAUUAGUUUAAGGUUUAGACUAAUUACAUGAAAAAGUUUGAUUUGAAUUAUCUUGUUCUUAUGAGUUGCUUAGAUUAAUAGAAAUGUUGAGUGAAAUAGUUGUUUUCAAUCCAUUUUAAUCUAAGAGUUGAGUAUAAAAUGUGUUUGUGUAACUUGUCCUCAAGUUACAUGAAGAGUCACAUUAAAGACUCAUAAAACUCAUAAUAGUUGGCAAUGGUUACAAAAUGAAGAGUCUUGUGUCAUUGAAUAAUUUUUUUUGACUCCAUAACUUGUCCUCAAGUUAUGGAAGUUCAAGAGUCACUUCAUUAAAGAAAAAUAUGUAACCAUAAUUAAAUCCAUAAGUUAUAAAAUAAAGAAAAAGUUAGUUCUUUUAUUAGUUUAAAGUCUUCCAUAACUUGUCCUCAAGUUAUGGAACUUGAAGAGUUUUUGGAUUAAAACUACUUUAAACACAUAAGUUAUGGAAUUAAUUAGUUUUGAAUAGUUUCAAAACUUGCCCUCAAGUUUUGGAAUUUGAAAAGUUUUCAAGUAUGAAUACUUUAAUUCCAAGUUAGCCCUUAGAAUUUUAAAAGUUAAAAUUCAACCCUUAUACUUUAUAAUAUUAUAAGUUAAUAAUAUAUAUAUGUAUAAGAGUAAAGUCAGUCUUACCGCUAGUACGCCUCAUUCACGAAGCCGGUCUAUAAGGUGGGUAUAAGGUUGUUGCCUAUAAAAUGGCAACUUAAUGGGUGUCCACUCUCACCCACCGCUUGCUUGACUGGUGGAGGGUCGUUAGCCGAACGGGUUUGACAGGACUAGAAUUCUCCCUUCAUUAAAAGUAUUAAUGAUAAUACUAAGUAACUAAACUCUUAAUAAUACCCAAUCUUAGUUACUUAGGAAAAAUGUGAAUAAGGUGCUAAUCCAUGAAAUUACACUUUACACUUUGUCUAAGUCGUUAGUGGAGCGUGUGUGGUUAACCGGCACACUAACUUGGACUUAACAAGGUAGGUAAAGGGUGACUUAAUAUUUAUCAUAGUAUCGAUGGAGCGUGUGUGGUUAACCGGCACAUCGAUUGAGGGGUAAUUUAUUAAGGGUACCAAGUGAUUUGCAUGGUUACUUCACACCUUGUUUUGUGAUCCUCGGCAUCCCAGUCACAAAACCUGAAGGGCACACUCGAGAUUGAAACAUGCCUUUGAAAAGUUCAAUGAAUCUCAAAGAUCUAGGAGUUUCAAAACCAAUUAAAACCUAAUAAUACAUUUCGUUUAUCUUGGUGGAAAUUGGUGAAUCGUCAUUCACCUACCUUCAAAUAUUUUAUAGCUUGGAUUACGGCAUACCUCUUCUAAGUUAUAAAAUAGUUUGUUGGGUCCUAGCCUUAAUAUUUCAUAUUGGGUGUCAUAUUAAGGACUUUAAAUCAACUAUCUUGAAUAUCUCCCAAAAGAUGUCUGGUUUAGACACCUAUGAUCUUCCCAAAUCUCUUGAAACAAGGUUUCCUAAUGAAGAUGAUGUCCCAUGGAUAUCAUACUUCUUCACCUCUUCAAAUUAUUCUCCCUAACCCACAAGUUCUUGAAAAGUUUAAGGUCACUCAGGCCCUAUUAGCAAGGCAAGGUCUAGGUGUGGUCACAUCUUGGAGAUGUAGUCACAUAUUGACAAGCCGGGAGAGUUGGGUGUCAAAGUCUUGAGAAAGUUGGUGGUUCAACCACUUUCUAAGUCACAUAGUGAGUUCCUUUGGGACACCUAUGAAACAGACUAUGACAAGACCCUUAAUGAUCUUAUCUAUUUGCUAAGAUCAACUUCCUAAAACUUUAUGGACAUUGACAAUGAUGACAUUGGAUAUCCAGUAAAGCAUUCUCUUCCCAAUGGAAAGGGAUCGGCCAUAGUCAACUCGGUUGACCAAAUGGUAAAGAGAAAAGCUAAGUCUGUGAUAGUCCCGUGUACCAUUAUCAAAGGGUCCAUAUGUUUAUAUUGCCAAAGGAAGGGGCAUUGGUUGCGAAGCUGCCAAAUUUACCUAAGGAUGUUAAAGUCAAUAAGUUUGACUCUACUUCAGGUAAAGUCCACUAUCUAACUCUGUUAAGUUUCUAUUCUGAGAUUCUUGAUACAUGAUGUGACUGGGUCACAUGGUGAUGUUUUAAGAAUCAAAGAAAAGUGAAGAAACUUAAAGAAAGAAUAUGCUGAAUCUGAUGGCGUAGAUGGAUUUCUAUCGCAUAGUUUGAAGAUCGGAUUCUUGAGCUACUUCUUAGGAGUUAUGAGAUAUUGCUUAGGAAUAGAUAACAACAAGUUUUCAUAUGGAUUGUAAGGAUAAGUUUUUCCGCAAAGUUUUAAAAUAAAAGAAAAUUUUUUUGAUUUUAUUUAUUUUAAAAUAUCCUUACAAUGGCUUUUGAGGAAAAAUUGUUGCUUAUAUGAUUCCAUUAAGAGCAAGAGUGGAAAUAUGAAAUUGAUUCUUUCAUUUGUGGUAAUGUCUAGAUUUACCAAAUAAGGAAAGAUUCUCAUCACCCAAGUUUCAAUUGGACCGGAACUUGGAAUCAUGCAAGUUGUAUAGCAUGAUGAAUGAGAACUUUCAAGUUUUGGAAAAUUAAGACUAAUUACUUGUUCACAUGGAUGUGUGAGUCAAGUAAAGGACUAAGGGAUCGAGUACACAUUCUUGUGCACUGAUUAAGUCCACCACUAAAGAUCGAUAAGAAGAAUCAAAUAAGGCAGAAGGAUAAAAGUUUCUCAAAUCUGAAAAGAUGGGAGAGUACUUUAGUAUCAGUUUUGUGAUCAUCUUAAUGAUUAAGAAACCAUAUCAAAAUUAGUUCUCUAAGGAAAUCUUAGUGCAUUCUUAUGACUAAGAAGAGGAACUUGAAUUGUUGAAAUGGUUAAAUCAAGAAGAUGAGUCAUACUUCGUUCCAAUACAAGUCUUAGAGUCAUACUCCAAGAUUGUCAUUUGAGUGACAUGUCUUAAAGAAGGUUUAAAACACUUGUCAAAUGUAAGAGUAAAAGUUUUCUACUCUUGUACAUUUGAAAUUGGUAAGUUGUGAUGUUUUGGAUAAAACAAAGACCAACUUAGGCCAAUUGGGUAAAGUGUUUUUCUUGAUUAGAAUCCGCACUAUCUCUUGGAUGUUUGACAAGGGAGUCUUAUAUGUCAAGAGGACAGUGGGAGUCUUAAAGGUCUUGAAAGUCUCAAGAAAUAAUCAAGAAUAAAACCUAAAGUUCUUCACUAGCACACGACUUGAGGUUUAUAACCUAUCGUGUUGACAUAUCUGUGCCCAUUCCAGUUAAAGUUGGCUUUGCAUAUGAGUUCUUAGAGUUCUCAGUUUGUUGCAUAACAACUUGGAAGCAAUGGCAGGCCCUUGAGCUGCCAGGUGGCAAGAAGUUAAGAUUGAGUUCAAUCCAUAUGGUUUUGGAUUUGUCAUUAUCUUUGUCUUGUGAUUAUGGUUUGACAAAUUCAUAUGGGUAGGAACUCAUACACCAUAUAAAUCUAAGUGUCAUAAGGUUUCUCUCCGAUUCAUGAAAAUGAUGGUGAGGAAACGCUUUCACUAAGUAGAUUUUACGAAGAUAUCAAUUGUGUUAUUUGCAUUUUCAAAAGUCGUUAGUGGAGCGCGUGUGGUUAACCGGCACACUAACAUGGACUUGUGAGAAAUGGCAAAUGCCUAAGCAAUUGAGACCAUGAUUACGGUAUCCCUUUUCAUGGUUCUUGAAAUUGCUUAGACACACAGGUGAGCUAUCUACGGAAAGGGUGUAUGAAUCUAAAUUUCAGACUGUCCAGCUGAUUUCUGAGUACAUGUCAAAGCUAGUGGGAGCAUAAGUGUUAUGCUAAUAAUCAUCAUGUUAGUGGGAGCAUGAUAAUUAUGAUAAGUAUUGCAAGUUAGCAAUGUUAAUUAUAGAAAACAAAAGUUUCAAUUGGGAAAAAGUUGUUUUGCUAUAAUUAAGGGAGAGGAAAUUAUGCUUCAUCUCAAAUCUAUAAGCUUAGAUCGUGAGGUUUUAAUCAUUUAGUCAAGGAUAUAUAUGAAUUUCAUGUUGGAAUGGCUCAACAUAAGGAAAUUCUGUAUAUGGGUCCAUUAUUUGCGUUCUAAAAUUCGAUUAUGAUUACGGCAUCCCUUUUCAUAAUCUGAAUUAUGAGAACUUGGCAAAUUGAAAUGGAAAUAUUAUAGCAAAAGACUGGUUUAGUCUUUAUGUAAGACAUCAUGAAUCGUGUCCCAUAUGCUUCGGAUAUAGGAUCGAUUACAUGUGCUAUAUUCAUCCGUUCUAAAAUUUUCCAAAUGCCUGGGGCAUUAAGAAGGGAAAAGGUUUAGAACUGGAUAUGACUAAAAGGAUUAAACAAUUGUCGAGGACAAUCUAAGGUUUACCAAAGAUUGGUUACUCAAGGACAAUUGGAAGUAUAGUGAUAAUUCUGGAAGGACCAUAUUGACAUAAUCUGUAAGGAGGCAACUCUUGUUCAGAAGUGAUAGUCAAAAUGGAAUCUGGAAAUGUUUCAAAGUUAGAAUUUUCAAUCUGUGUAAGAUUAAGGAAACUUAAUGCAAGAAGGAUAUUUCCAAGGAGUUGAUCUCCUUUGGAAUACUCUGUAAUGAUUGUUGCCAAGUCUUUGUGACUUUGUGCAUAAUCAUUACAAGAGGAUCAAUGCAUAUAAGUUUAGAAUCUAACAGAUUUCAGUAAAUGGCAUGAAUUUGGAAUUCUUGCAUUUGCAGUAAGGAUUUGGGAGUGUGAAAAGAGAAUCAUUGAAGUUAUGUUCAAUUGAUCUAGUUCACAAAGUAAAGAUCAUAGACAAACAUAGUAUGCAUACUUGGUGUGUGGCAUGACUAGUGUUUAAGAAAACAUAGUGUACAUGCUUGGAGCAUGGGACAACUAUUGUUUUAAAUUCAAGAAUAAAGUUGAUAGCUGAAACAGUAUACAAUGAAUAAUGUGUAAUCAUAUGGUGAUAAAUAAAAGGUGUUUUAUUUAUGUUCAAAGGGUUGAUACCAUAUUGGAUUCAAUUAUUAUUGUGUUUCAUUUUGCAUGUUUUGACUUCCCGAAUAAACUGGGUUAUUCUUCCGGAAUGACUAAGUUAUUCAAACCAUCCACAGUCGGUCAUAUGUUGGAAGUAGAUAUGAAUUAAGACUGUCAUGGGUUGGCUUGUAGAGGUCUAAGGUGUUGGACAAAGGGCUACAACACUCAUGAGUGCUCAUAAGUUCUGAGUAUUGGAUUCAACCCGCGCUCAUUGGAAUCACUUCAUGGAUUUUAUCACGAGUGAUCAUGAGACGAUAAUAUCUUAUAUUCUUCAAACCUAGAGAUAUGAGUUGUUACUAUGAGUUGAUAGUACAUUGAUUGCACGAAAACGCAUUUGGUAACUCGGUGCUAUAAAACGUGCCUUUGUGUAUGAUUCAACAAGUAGUAGAACAAGCCAUAUGAGUCGAAGUUUAUCCGUUCCUUUUACCUUCGGGAUAAAAGCGAUAUCUGUGGGCCCCUCGAUGAUUUGAUGAUGACAAAUGGAAGUGCUCGGCCGGGCCAGGACUGAUUUGAUUUGUUCAAUUAGUCAGUCGUCAUAAAUCGGAAAUCGGGAAACAACAAAUGGACAGAGAGAAUGAUUAUAAUCCAUGUCUCAGUCCAUAUGAUAUCUAGAAUGGAGGAAUAUAUGAUCCCUUAUCUAAUGGACAAGUCACUGACAAAGGUCAGAGUUCAUCUACAAGGUCAGAGUUCGACAGAAGCUUUUGAGAGCUACGAUUGCCGGUUGGUUCCUGAAGUCAUACGCAAUAAUAGUUUUAGACUUAUCCAAGUGGGAGACUGUUGGAUUAAUGUCUAAGUCCAUAACUAUAUUUGGUAAGACUUGACCCGACCCGGCAUGGUCCAUUUGGGUUGCAUACCAUCAUGCACUUGGAUGAGAGAAAUAAGACACUUAUGGUUAUUAAUAUAUUAUAAGUUCUAGUAUAUUAAUAAUAAGAAUGAUAAGAUUAUUUAAUUAGUAUUGAUCAAGAAUUAAUCUAGGAUUAAUUAAGUGAUUAAAAGAAGACUAAUUAAAUAUAUGGAUUGAUUGUGUAAAUCAUCCAUACUUGUAUAGUGGACUAAUGCUCCAUGGAUAAUCAAGUUGGGCUAAAAACCUAUAGGAUGGUCCAUGGAUGCUCCAUGGUGUAUUUGAACCCAUGGAUCCAAGGAAAUGGAAAGUCAUGACAAUUAGGGUUUGCCCUAAUUGUAACACUAUAUAAAGAUCUUAUUCUUGACAAAAUUGGCAACUAGAAUCACACUAGUGUGUGAAGUGAAAGGGCUAGCCGAUUUUGAUGAGUGUAGAAUUCUCUCAAGUCAUUCCAAGUGUUUUGAUGAUUGUGAUUCCAUUUGAGGUGUCACACUUGGGGCACUAGGCAC